rnacentral:rRNA from 1 species
GUGGGGAAUAUUGGACAAUGGGGGGAACCCUGAUCCAGCCAUGUCGCGUGUGUGAAGAAGGCCUUUUGGUUGUAAAGCACUUUAAGCGAGGAGGAGGCUACCGAGAUUAAUACUCUUGGAUAGUGGACGUUACUCGCAGAAUAAGCACCGGCUAACUCUGUGCCAGCAGCCGCGGUAAUACAGAGGGUGCAAGCGUUAAUCGGAUUUACUGGGCGUAAAGCGCGCGUAGGUGGCCAAUUAAGUCAAAUGUGAAAUCCCCGAGCUUAACUUGGGAAUUGCAUUCGAUACUGGUUGGCUAGAGUAUGGGAGAGGAUGGUAGAAUUCCAGGUGUAGCGGUGAAAUGCGUAGAGAUCUGGAGGAAUACCGAUGGCGAAGGCAGCCAUCUGGCCUAAUACUGACACUGAGGUGCGAAAGCAUGGGGAGCAAACAGGAUUAGAUACCCUAGUAGUCC